rnacentral:antisense_RNA from 1 species
GCGUCGGCGAUCAGGGGUCUGGGCGCGGCGAGAUCUGGUGUGGCAGAUGUGGAUAGCUGGACCCUCCUGGGUGCCUCUGCGUUAUGUCGUUUGGUUGAUGCAUUUGGAGAGAAUCUGUGCUCUCCACACCUGCAGGGGCAACAUGCUUUCCUGGCCUCUUCAGAUCAGGGUGGCUGUUCUUGGGUGCUGCACCAAAACUCCAGCAGUGGGCUUUCUUCAAGUGGCCGGCUCACCUCAUUCCUGCCAAGACCCAGGUCCGUGUUCUCACAGCGCUGCCAUCUUUCCUCCGUGUGAGCGUGUGCUGUGCGGAGAGUGGACCUCGGUGUGUGCGGGGCUGCGUGCACUGCCAUCGGCUCCCUCUACACGAGCCGCCGUGGACCCAGGGCUGAGCUGUGACCACGAGGGCCAUCCCGACGAGCCGCCGUGGACCCAGGGCUGAGCUGUGACCACGAGGGCUAUCCCGACGAGCCGCCAUGGACCCAGGGCUGAGCCGUGACCAUGAGGGCCAUCCCGAAACUGUGAUUGUUUUCUGGUAUGUGGGGGAUGUGCCAGAACCAGGGCUGAGCUGUGACCACGAGGGCCAUCCCGG